rnacentral:rRNA from 1 species
CCUACGGGAGGCAGCAGUGGGGAAUAUUGGACAAUGGGGGGAACCCUGAUCCAGCGACGCCGCGUGAGUGAAGAAGUAUUUCGGUAUGUAAAGCUCUAUCAGCAGGGAAGAAAGAAAUGACGGUACCUGACUAAGAAGCCCCGGCUAACUACGUGCCAGCAGCCGCGGUAAUACGUAGGGGGCAAGCGUUAUCCGGAUUUACUGGGUGUAAAGGGAGCGUAGACGGCAGUGCAAGUCUGGAGUGAAAGGCGGGGGCUCAACCCCCGGACUGCUCUGGAAACUGUACGGCUGGAGUGCAGGAGAGGUAAGUGGAAUUCCUAGUGUAGCGGUGAAAUGCGUAGAUAUUAGGAGGAACACCAGUGGCGAAGGCGGCUUACUGGACUGUAACUGACGUUGAGGCUCGAAAGCGUGGGGAGCAAACAGGAUUAGAUACCCGGGUAGUC